UAAGCGCUGGAAACGGCGUCUAAUACUGGAUAUGAGCCUCUUCCGCAUGGUGGGGGUUGGAAAGAUUUUUUGGUCUGGGAUGGGCUCGCGGCCUAUCAGCUUGUUGGUGAGGUAAUGGCUCACCAAGGCGUCGACGGGUAGCCGGCCUGAGAGGGUGACCGGCCACACUGGGACUGAGACACGGCCCAGACUCCUACGGGAGGCAGCAGUGGGGAAUAUUGCACAAUGGGCGAAAGCCUGAUGCAGCAACGCCGCGUGAGGGAUGACGGCCUUCGGGUUGUAAACCUCUUUUAGCAGGGAAGAAGCGAAAGUGACGGUACCUGCAGAAAAAGCGCCGGCUAACUACGUGCCAGCAGCCGCGGUAAUACGUAGGGCGCAAGCGUUAUCCGGAAUUAUUGGGCGUAAAGAGCUCGUAGGCGGUUUGUCGCGUCUGCUGUGAAAUCCCGAGGCUCAACCUCGGGCCUGCAGUGGGUACGGGCAGACUAGAGUGCGGUAGGGGAGAUUGGAA
rnacentral:rRNA from 1 species